rnacentral:rRNA from 1 species
UAGGGAAUCUUCGGCAAUGGACGAAAGUCUGACCGAGCAACGCCGCGUGAGUGAAGAAGGUUUUCGGAUCGUAAAACUCUGUUGGUGAGAAGAACGCUGGUGAGAGUGGAAAGCUCAUCAAGUGACGGUAACUACCCAGAAAGGGACGGCUAACUACGUGCAG